rnacentral:rRNA from 1 species
GAUGAACGCUGGCGGCGUGCCUAAUACAUGCAAGUCGAGCGAGCAGACGAGGAGCUUGCUCCUCUGACGUUAGCGGCGGACGGGUGAGUAACACGUGGAUAACCUACCUAUAAGACUGGGAUAACUUCGGGAAACCGGAGCUAAUACCGGAUAAUAUAUUGAACCGCAUGGUUCAAUAGUGAAAGACGGUUUUGCUGUCACUUAUAGAUGGAUCCGCGCCGCAUUAGCUAGUUGGUAAGGUAACGGCUUACCAAGGCAACGAUGCGUAGCCGACCUGAGAGGGUGAUCGGCCACACUGGAACUGAGACACGGUCCAGACUCCUACGGGAGGCAGCAGCAGGGAAUCUUCCGCAAUGGGCGAAAGCCUGACGGAGCAACGCCGCGUGAGUGAUGGAGGUCUUCGGAUCGUAAAACUCUGUUAUUAGGGAAGAACAAAUGUGUAAGUAACUAUGCACGUCUUGACGGUACCUAAUCAGAAAGCCACGGCUAACUACGUG